rnacentral:misc_RNA from 1 species
GAAUGAGGAAACGAGAGAGCCACAAUCGAGUGAGACUCUUGAAUCUUCAAUUUGAUAGGUAGAGCCACACCCACAAAUGCAGUCACAUAGCGAGACUCGACUCGACAGUGUGGAUUCCACAUAAGAGGGAGAUAAGGUGGAGGCAGGAGAAGUGAAAGUCGACUGUCGAUAGUCGAGACUCAAAAAUCAACAGCGUUGGUGGAGAAAUGAGCUGAGAAUGAGAACUGAGAUGAGAUUAAAC